AUCCCAUGAUGAGGACGGGCGGCCACGUACUCCUGCAGUCGUUCCCACGCUUCCGAAUGGACUCAUCCCUUGUCUGCUAGAAACUGGAAAUCAUUCCACGAAGAGC
rnacentral:snoRNA from 1 species